GGUCGCUUCAGCAGCACAAUACUAAAAUUGGAACAAUACAGAUAAGAUUAGCAUGGCCCCUGCUCAAGAAUGAGACACAAAUUUGUGAACCAUUCCAUUAUUGA